AUGUCCGAUUUGGUUUCUCUGAUUUUUCCGAUAACGGUUGGUCCUCUGGUUGUCUCCCUUCAAUUUUUCUGUUUUUCGGUUGUCUCCCUUUGGGUUGACCGGCUUUGGUUCAUUACUUCUUCGAUUUGGUUCCCACGUCGUUCUCUACGGGCAGAUCUUCAGAUCUGGAGUUGUAGUGUUUCCUUCUGGGGAAGCUCCUUCUCCGAUGAAUCCUUUGUAGUUAUUUUGCACACUCCUAAACAUAUCAAGCAUACAAGGAGGGAGGUCCUGUCCCAUUUGAAACAGUAG